rnacentral:rRNA from 1 species
CCUACGGGAUGCAGCAGUGAGGAAUAUUGGUCAAUGGGCGCGAGCCUGAACCAGCCAAGUAGCGUGAAGGAUGACUGCCCUACGGGUUGUAAACUUCUUUUCUAAAGGACUAAAGUGAGGCACGUGUGCCUUUUUGUAUGUCCUUUAUGAAUAAGGAUCGGCUAACUCCGUGCCAGCAGCCGCGGUAAUACGGAGAAUCCGAGCUUUAUCCGGAUUUAUUGGGUUUAAAGGGAGCGUAGAUGGGUUGUUAAGUCAGUUUUGAAAGUUUGCGGUUCAACCGUAAAAUUGCAAUUGAUACUGGCAGCCUUGAGGACAGUUGAGGUAGGCGGAAUUCGUGGUGUAGCGGUGAAAUGCUUAGAUAUCACGAAGAACUCCGAUUGCGAAGGCAGCCUACUAAACUGCCACUGACAUUGAUGCUCGAAAGUGUGGGUAUCAAACAGGAUUAGAGACCCCUGUAGUC